AACGAACGCUGGCGGCAUGCCUAACACAUGCAAGUCGAACGAGAUCUUCGGGUCUAGUGGCGCACGGGUGCGUAACGCGUGGGAAUCUGCCCUUUGGUUCGGAAUAACAGUUGGAAACGACUGCUAAUACCGGAUGAUGACGAAAGUCCAAAGAUUUAUCGCCAGAGGAUGAGCCCGCGUGGGAUUAGCUAGUUGGUGUGGUAAAGGCGCACCAAGGCGACGAUCCUUAGCUGGUCUGAGAGGAUGAUCAGCCACACUGGGACUGAGACACGGCCCAGACUCCUACGGGAGGCAGCAGUGGGGAAUAUUGGACAAUGGGCGAAAGCCUGAUCCAGCAAUGCCGCGUGAGUGAUGAAGGCCUUAGGGUUGUAAAGCUCUUUUACCCGGGAUGAUAAUGGCAGUACCGGGAGAAUAAGCUCCGGCUAACUCCGUGCCAGCCGCCGCAGUAA
rnacentral:rRNA from 1 species